GUACUUUCAGCGGGCAGGAAGGUGAUGAGGUUAAUAACCUUGUCGAUUGACGUUACCCGCAGAAGAAGCACCGGCUAACUCCCUGCCAGCAGCCGCGGUAAUACGGAGGGUGCAAGCGUUAAUCGGAAUUACUGGGCGUAAAGCGCACACAGGCUGUCUGUCAAGUCGGAUGUGAAAUCCCCGGGCUCAACCUGGGAACUGCAUUCGAAACUGGCGGGCUAGAGUCUUGUAGAGGGGGGUAGAAUUCCGGGUGUAGCGGUGAAAUGCGUAGAGAUCUGGAGGAAUACCGGUGGCGAAGGCGGCCCCCUGGACAAAGACUGACGCUCAGGUGCG
rnacentral:rRNA from 1 species